GGGCCGAUAACUCAGGGGUAGAGUAUCGCCUUUACACGGCGAGAGUCGCUGGUUCGAUCCCAGCUCGGCCUACCA
rnacentral:tRNA from 1 species